rnacentral:rRNA from 1 species
AGCGUUAAUCGGAAUUACUGGGCGUAAAGCGUGCSCWKGCGGUUAUAUAAGACAGAUGUGAAAUCCCCGGGCUCAACCUGGGAACUGCAUUUGUGACUGUAUAGCUAGAGUACGGCAGAGGGGGAUGGAAUUCCGCGUGUAGCAGUGAAAUGCGUAGAUAUGCGGAGGAACACCGAUGGCGAAGGCAAUCCCCUGGGCCUGUACUGACGCUCAUGCACGAAAGCGUGGGGAGCAAACAGGAUUAGAUACCCUGGUAGUCCACGCCCUAAACGAUGUCAACUGGUUGUUGGGUCUUCACUGACUCAGUAACGAAGCUAACGCGUGAAGUUGACCGCCUGGGGAGUACGGCCGCAAGGUUG